GACGUAGGGCGCGGAGCGUUGUCCGGAUUUAUUGGGCGUAAAGAGCUCGUAGGCGGCUUGUCGCGUCGAAUGUGAAAACUCCGGGGCUCAACUCCGAGCUUGCAUUCGAUACGGGCAGGCUAGAGUUCGGUAGGGGAGACUGGAAUUCCUGGUGUAGCGGUGAAAUGCGCAGAUAUCAGGAGGAACACCGGUGGCGAAGGCGGGUCUCUGGGCCGAUACUGACGCUGAGGAGCGGAAAGCGUGGGGAGCGAACAGG
rnacentral:rRNA from 1 species